GGUAGUUAACUGCCGAAUUAUGGAAUCGGUUGCAGUUAACUAUCGAGGAAAACUUCGGCAGUAAACUAUCGAGGAAAACUGAAAACUUCGGCAGUUAACUGUC
rnacentral:pre_miRNA from 1 species